GGGUUGUGAGGUUAAGCGACUAAGCGUACACGGUGGAUGCCCUGGCAGUCAGAGGCGAUGAAGGACGUGCUAAUCUGCGAUAAGCGUCGGUAAGGUGAUAUGAACCGUUAUAACCGGCGAUUUCCGAAUGGGGAAACCCAGUGUGAUUCGUCACACUAUCAUUAACUGAAUCCAUAGGUUAAUGAGGCGAACCGGGGGAACUGAAACAUCUAAGUACCCCGAGGAAAAGAAAUCAACCGAGAUUCCCCCAGUAGCGGCGAGCGAACGGGGAGCAGCCCAGAGUCUGAAUCAGUGUGUGUGUUAGUGGAAGCGUCUGGAAAGGCGCGCGAUACAGGGUGACAGCCCCGUACACAAAAAUGCACAUAUUGUGAGCUCGAUGAGUAGGGCGGGACACGUGGUAUCCUGUCUGAAUAUGGGGGGACCAUCCUCCAAGGCUAAAUACUCCUGACUGACCGAUAGUGAACCAGUACCGUGAGGGAAAGGCGAAAAGAACCCCGGCGAGGGGAGUGAAAAAGAACCUGAAACCGUGUACGUACAAGCAGUGGGAGCACGCUUAGGCGUGUGACUGCGUACCUUUUGUAUAAUGGGUCAGCGACUUAUAUUCUGUAGCAAGGUUAACCGAAUAGGGGAGCCGAAGGGAAACCGAGUCUUAACUGGGCGUUAAGUUGCAGGGUAUAGACCCGAAACCCGGUGAUCUAGCCAUGGGCAGGUUGAAGGUUGGGUAACACUAACUGGAGGACCGAACCGACUAAUGUUGAAAAAUUAGCGGAUGACUUGUGGCUGGGGGUGAAAGGCCAAUCAAACCGGGAGAUAGCUGGUUCUCCCCGAAAGCUAUUUAGGUAGCGCCUCGUGAAUUCAUCUCCGGGGGUAGAGCACUGUUUCGGCAAGGGGGUCAUCCCGACUUACCAACCCGAUGCAAACUGCGAAUACCGGAGAAUGUUAUCACGGGAGACACACGGCGGGUGCUAACGUCCGUCGUGAAGAGGGAAACAACCCAGACCGCCAGCUAAGGUCCCAAAGUCAUGGUUAAGUGGGAAACGAUGUGGGAAGGCCCAGACAGCCAGGAUGUUGGCUUAGAAGCAGCCAUCAUUUAAAGAAAGCGUAAUAGCUCACUGGUCGAGUCGGCCUGCGCGGAAGAUGUAACGGGGCUAAACCAUGCACCGAAGCUGCGGCAGCGACACUAUGUGUUGUUGGGUAGGGGAGCGUUCUGUAAGCCUGUGAAGGUGUGCUGUGAGGCAUGCUGGAGGUAUCAGAAGUGCGAAUGCUGACAUAAGUAACGAUAAAGCGGGUGAAAAGCCCGCUCGCCGGAAGACCAAGGGUUCCUGUCCAACGUUAAUCGGGGCAGGGUGAGUCGACCCCUAAGGCGAGGCCGAAAGGCGUAGUCGAUGGGAAACAGGUUAAUAUUCCUGUACUUGGUGUUACUGCGAAGGGGGGACGGAGAAGGCUAUGUUGGCCGGGCGACGGUUGUCCCGGUUUAAGCGUGUAGGCUGGUUUUCCAGGCAAAUCCGGAAAAUCAAGGCUGAGGCGUGAUGACGAGGCACUACGGUGCUGAAGCAACAAAUGCCCUGCUUCCAGGAAAAGCCUCUAAGCAUCAGGUAACAUCAAAUCGUACCCCAAACCGACACAGGUGGUCAGGUAGAGAAUACCAAGGCGCUUGAGAGAACUCGGGUGAAGGAACUAGGCAAAAUGGUGCCGUAACUUCGGGAGAAGGCACGCUGAUAUGUAGGUGAAGCGACUUGCUCGUGGAGCUGAAAUCAGUCGAAGAUACCAGCUGGCUGCAACUGUUUAUUAAAAACACAGCACUGUGCAAACACGAAAGUGGACGUAUACGGUGUGACGCCUGCCCGGUGCCGGAAGGUUAAUUGAUGGGGUUAGCGCAAGCGAAGCUCUUGAUCGAAGCCCCGGUAAACGGCGGCCGUAACUAUAACGGUCCUAAGGUAGCGAAAUUCCUUGUCGGGUAAGUUCCGACCUGCACGAAUGGCGUAAUGAUGGCCAGGCUGUCUCCACCCGAGACUCAGUGAAAUUGAACUCGCUGUGAAGAUGCAGUGUACCCGCGGCAAGACGGAAAGACCCCGUGAACCUUUACUAUAGCUUGACACUGAACAUUGAGCCUUGAUGUGUAGGAUAGGUGGGAGGCUUUGAAGUGUGGACGCCAGUCUGCAUGGAGCCGACCUUGAAAUACCACCCUUUAAUGUUUGAUGUUCUAACGUGGACCCGUAAUCCGGGUUGCGGACAGUGUCUGGUGGGUAGUUUGACUGGGGCGGUCUCCUCCUAAAGAGUAACGGAGGAGCACGAAGGUUGGCUAAUCCUGGUCGGACAUCAGGAGGUUAGUGCAAUGGCAUAAGCCAGCUUGACUGCGAGCGUGACGGCGCGAGCAGGUGCGAAAGCAGGUCAUAGUGAUCCGGUGGUUCUGAAUGGAAGGGCCAUCGCUCAACGGAUAAAAGGUACUCCGGGGAUAACAGGCUGAUACCGCCCAAGAGUUCAUAUCGACGGCGGUGUUUGGCACCUCGAUGUCGGCUCAUCACAUCCUGGGGCUGAAGUAGGUCCCAAGGGUAUGGCUGUUCGCCAUUUAAAGUGGUACGCGAGCUGGGUUUAGAACGUCGUGAGACAGUUCGGUCCCUAUCUGCCGUGGGCGCUGGAGAACUGAGGGGGGCUGCUCCUAGUACGAGAGGACCGGAGUGGACGCAUCACUGGUGUUCGGGUUGUCAUGCCAAUGGCACUGCCCGGUAGCUAAAUGCGGAAGAGAUAAGUGCUGAAAGCAUCUAAGCACGAAACUUGCCCCGAGAUGAGUUCUCCCUGACUCCUUGAGAGUCCUGAAGGAACGUUGAAGACGACGACGUUGAUAGGCCGGGUGUGUAAGCGCAGCGAUGCGUUGAGCUAACCGGUACUAAUGAACCGUGAGGCUUAACCUUACAACGCCGAAGGUGUUU
rnacentral:rRNA from 1 species